rnacentral:rRNA from 1 species
GAUGAACGCUGGCGGCGUGCCUAAUACAUGCAAGUCGAGCGGAAAGAUGAGGAGCUUGCUCCUCAGACGUUAGAGGCGGGCGGGUAAGGGACGCGUGACAAACCUACCUAUAGGACUGGAAUAGCUUCGGAAAACCGGAGCCAAUACCGAAUAAUAUAUAGAACCGCAGGGUGCAAUAGUGGGAGACGGAUUUGCUGUCAGUGAUAGGUGGAUCCGCGCCGCCUUAGCAAGUUGGUAAGGUAACGGCAUACCAAGGCAACGGUGGGUAGGCGUCCGGAGAGUGUGAUCGUCCACGCUGGAACUGAGACAGGGCCCAGACUCCGACUGGAGCCAGCAGUAGGGAAUCUUCCUCAUGGGGAGAAAGCCUGACGCUGCAACGCCGCGGGAGGGAUGAAGGUCUCCGGAUUGGAAUUCUCUGUUACUAUCGAAGAACAGAUGUCUAACUAAUUAGGCGCGUCUUGACGGUACCGGAACAAAAAGCACCGGCUAACUACGUG